UACGUAGGGUGCAAGCGUUGUCCGGAAUUAUUGGGCGUAAAGAGCUCGUAGGCGGUCUGUCGCGUCGGCUGUGAAAACCCGAGGCUCAACCUCGGGCCUGCAGUCGAUACGGGCAAACUAGAGUACUGCAGGGGAGACUGGAAUUCCUGGUGUAGCGGUGAAAUGCGCAGAUAUCAGGAGGAACACCGGUGGCGAAGGCGGGUCUCUGGGCAGUGAACUGACGCUGGAGGAGCG
rnacentral:rRNA from 1 species